rnacentral:rRNA from 1 species
UGGGGUGGGAAAUGCUUUUUUGCGGCAUGGGAUGGGGUCGCGUCCUAUCAGCUUGUUGGCGGGGUGAUGGCCCACCAAGGCGUUGACGGGUAGCCGGCCUGAGAGGGUGACCGGCCACAUUGGGACUGAGAUACGGCCCAGACUCCUACGGGAGGCAGCAGUGGGGAAUAUUGCACAAUGGGCGCAAGCCUGAUGCAGCGACGCCGCGUGCGGGAUGGAGGCCUUCGGGUUGUAAACCGCUUUUGUUCAAGGGCAAGGCACGGUUUCGGGCCGUGUUGAGUGGAUUGUUCGAAUAAGCACCGGCUAACUACGUGCCAGCAGCCGCGGUAAUACGUAGGGUGCGAGCGUUAUCCGGAUUUAUUGGGCGUAAAGGGCUCGUAGGCGGUUCGUCGCGUCCGGUGUGAAAGUCCAUCGCCUAACGG